rnacentral:tRNA from 1 species
UAAWAAAUAAAAAGUAAGCUUUUGGGUUCAUACCCCAAAUAUAAAGGAAACCCCUUUUUUUUAAA